rnacentral:rRNA from 1 species
AAUAGAUACCCAGGUAGUCCACGCCGUAAACGAUGUCGACUUGGAGGUUGUGCCCUUGAGGCGUGGCUUCCGGAGCUAACGCGUUAAGUCGACCGCCUGGGGAGUACGGCCGCAAGGUUAAAACUCAAAUGAAUUGACGGGGGCCCGCACAAGCGGUGGAGCAUGUGGUUUAAUUCGAUGCAACGCGAAGAACCUUACCUACUCUUGACAUCCAGAGAACUUAGCAGAGAUGCUUUGGUGCCUUCGGGAACUCUGAGACAGGUGCUGCAUGGCUGUCGUCAGCUCGUGUUGUGAAAUGUUGGGUUAAGUCCCGCAACGAGCGCAACCCUUAUCCUUUGUUGCCAGCGGUUAGGCCGGGAACUCAAAGGAGACUGCCAGUGAUAAACUGGAGGAAGGUGGGGGAUGACGUCAAGUCAUCAUGGCCCUUACGAGUAGGGCUACACACGUGCUACAAUGGCAUAUACAAAAGAGAAAGCGACCUCGCGAGAGCAAAGCGGACCUCAUAAAAGUAUGUCGUAGUCCGGAUUGGGAGU